UUAAGCGACUAAGCGUACACGGUGGAUGCCCUGGCAGUCAGAGGCGAUGAAGGACGUGCUAAUCUGCGAAAAGCGUCGGUAAGGUGAUAUGAACCGUUAUAACCGGCGAUGUCCGAAUGGGGAAACCCAGUGCAAUUCGUUGCACUAUCGUUAACUGAAUACAUAGGUUAACGAGGCGAACCGGGGGAACUGAAACAUCUAAGUACCCCGAGGAAAAGAAAUCAACCGAGAUUCCCCCAGUAGCGGCGAGCGAACGGGGAGCAGCCCAGAGUCUGAAUCAGCUUGUGUGUUAGUGGAACGGUCUGGAAAGUCCGACGGUACAGGGUGAUAGUCCCGUACACCAAAAUGCACAGGUUGUGAACUCGAAGAGUAGGGCGGGACACGUGGUAUCCUGUCUGAAUAUGGGGGGACCAUCCUCCAAGGCUAAAUACUCCUGACUGACCGAUAGUGAACCAGUACCGUGAGGGAAAGGCGAAAAGAACCCCGGCGAGGGGAGUGAAAAAGAACCUGAAACCGUGUACGUACAAGCAGUGGGAGCACCUUCGGGUGUGACUGCGUACCUUUUGUAUAAUGGGUCAGCGACUUAUAUUCUGUAGCAAGGUUAACCGUAUAGGGGAGCCGCAGGGAAACCGAGUCUUAACUGGGCGUUAAGUUGCAGGGUAUAGACCCGAAACCCGGUGAUCUAGCCAUGGGCAGGUUGAAGGUUGGGUAACACUAACUGGAGGACCGAACCGACUAAUGUUGAAAAAUUAGCGGAUGACUUGUGGCUGGGGGUGAAAGGCCAAUCAAACCGGGAGAUAGCUGGUUCUCCCCGAAAGCUAUUUAGGUAGCGCCUCGUGAAYUCAUCUUCGGGGGUAGAGCACUGUUUCGGCUAGGGGGUCAUCCCGACUUACCAACCCGAUGCAAACUACGAAUACCGAAGAAUGUUAUCACGGGAGACACACGGCGGGUGCUAACGUCCGUCGUGAAGAGGGAAACAACCCAGACCGCCAGCUAAGGUCCCAAAGUCAUGGUUAAGUGGGAAACGAUGUGGGAAGGCACAGACAGCCAGGAUGUUGGCUUAGAAGCAGCCAUCAUUUAAAGAAAGCGUAAUAGCUCACUGGUCGAGUCGGCCUGCGCGGAAGAUGUAACGGGGCUAAACCAUGCACCGAAGCUGCGGCAGCGACACUAUGUGUUGUUGGGUAGGGGAGCGUUCUGUAAGCCUGCGAAGGUGWSCUGUGAGGSWUGCUGGAGGUAUCAGAAGUGCGAAUGCUGACAUAAGUAACGAUAAAGCGGGUGAAAAGCCCGCUCGCCGGAAGACCAAGGGUUCCUGUCCAACGUUAAUCGGGGCAGGGUGAGUCGACCCCUAAGGCGAGGCCGAAAGGCGUAGUCGAUGGGAAACAGGUUAAUAUUCCUGUACUUGGUGUUACUGCGAAGGGGGGACGGAGAAGGCUAUGUUAGCCGGGCGACGGUUGUCCCGGUUUAAGCAUGUAGGCUGRUURUCCAGGCAAAUCCGGAUAAUCAAGGCUGAGGUGUGAUGACGAGGCACUACGGUGCUGAAGUAACAAAUGCCCUGCUUCCAGGAAAAGCCUCUAAGCAUCAGGUAACAUYAAAUCGUACCCCAAACCGACACAGGUGGUCAGGUAGAGAAUACCAAGGCGCUUGAGAGAACUCGGGUGAAGGAACUAGGCAAAAUGGUGCCGUAACUUCGGGAGAAGGCACGCUGGUGUGUAGGUGAAGYCCCUGCGGRUGGAGCUGAGACCAGUCGAAGAUACCAGCUGGCUGCAACUGUUUAUUAAAAACACAGCACUGUGCAAACACGAAAGUGGACGUAUACGGUGUGACGCCUGCCCGGUGCCGGAAGGUUAAUUGAUGGGGUUAUCCGUAAGGAGAAGCUCUUGAUCGAAGCCCCGGUAAACGGCGGCCGUAACUAUAACGGUCCUAAGGUAGCGAAAUUCCUUGUCGGGUAAGUUCCGACCUGCACGAAUGGCGUAAUGAUGGCCAGGCUGUCUCCACCCGAGACUCAGUGAAAUUGAACUCGCUGUGAAGAUGCAGUGUACCCGCGGCAAGACGGAAAGACCCCGUGAACCUUUACUAUAGCUUGACACUGAACAUUGAGCCUUGAUGUGUAGGAUAGGUGGGAGGCUUUGAAGCGUGGACGCCAGUCUGCGUGGAGCCAACCUUGAAAUACCACCCUUUAAUGUUUGAUGUUCUAACGUUGGCCCCUKACCGGGGUUGCGGACAGUGUCUGGUGGGUAGUUUGACUGGGGCGGUCUCCUCCCAAAGCGUAACGGAGGAGCACGAAGGUUAGCUAAUCCUGGUCGGACAUCAGGAGGUUAGUGCAAUGGCAUAAGCUAGCUUGACUGCGAGCGUGACGGCGCGAGCAGGUGCGAAAGCAGGUCAUAGUGAUCCGGUGGUUCUGAAUGGAAGGGCCAUCGCUCAACGGAUAAAAGGUACUCCGGGGAUAACAGGCUGAUACCGCCCAAGAGUUCAUAUCGACGGCGGUGUUUGGCACCUCGAUGUCGGCUCAUCACAUCCUGGGG
rnacentral:rRNA from 1 species